AGAAGAAGGGUCUCUUUCCUCCUGUCAAUCUCAUCUCACCUUAGGCACAGUGCCGAUGAUUUUCCAUCCUUUCUCCGCUUUUUUUCCUUCUCUUUUCCAAUCCUCUUGUUGGGGGUUUGGUAGAGUUUUCACUUGGAGAGAGAAUCGUUGCUUAAAGAACAAGGAGGGGAAGGAGUCCAAGAAAGGAGUGAACAUUUGGCAAUGUUCAAAUCAAGAAAACGAUCUUGAAAGGGCAAACAGGUUUGGUGUCAGCAUCCCCUUUGCGGGUUCCAUCAUUAGCUGCAAAAUCCAUCGCACCAAUCACCAGACUUCACCUUGAUGAUUCUUGGGUGCAUAAGGGCACCGACAAGAAACUCAAAUUUCAUUGCACGUUUCAUCAUUGUGUUUGAAGCGGAAUAAACCUUUGCUUGCUCCAGUCGUAUUAAGUCGCUCAUUGUUGGGUUCUGUUACUUUUCGGUCUUCGUCCCAAUCAUAAGCUUCUUCUUCUUUUCUCUCU